UUAAUCCUGAGAUGUACGUUACAACCUUAUUUUUGAACCUACACUUAUUUAUAGGGAGUCCGGAUGUUCUCUAUGCAAUGUUAAGCCUCCUUUGAGUGGAAAACAGACCCUUAGAGACAGGGCACCCACCUAGCAUCCGCUAGGCGUCAAAAAUGGUGGACGGCAUAUUCGGGAUUUAG
rfam:Eubacterium limosum KIST612, complete genome.